GGAACAUCCCGCCGCCCCCGCACGGGCUCCCAGGGGCACGUUCCAGUAAGCCGUUGCCCAUUUUACUUAUUCGCCCGCCUCUGAACACACUUUGUUUCAGCUCAGUGAAUUCUGGAAAGAAGAGUAGUAGACUACGUCAUUGAAUAUAUUCAAGGCAGAGUUAUCGUGAAUUUUGAUUGCUCAUGGAAUCAACAAUAAUGUAUGGCAGGAUGUGCAGGAGGCAAUGAAUAAGGACAGAUAAUAUAGGAAGCACAGAGAGGGCACUGCUCGGAGCUGUCUUCAUGUUCACUUUUGUAAAAGUAGAAAGACUUAGAGAAGUUGUCACAAACUGUCAAAACAUGGAGAGAUGGUGUUGCAGCUAACAUUACUGAACGAGGAAUGCAGAGGCCCAGGGAACAUGGGUUCAGAUUCAUGGCAGAUGGUGGAAUUUAAUUAAUAAAGUCUGGAGUAUAAAACAGUUUUACAUGUAAGAAA